UACGAAGGGGGCUAGCGUUGCUCGGAAUUACUGGGCGUAAAGCGCACGUAGGCGGCUUUCUAAGUCGGGGGUGAAAUCCUGGAGCUCAACUCCAGAACUGCCUUCGAUACUGGAGAGCUCGAGUCCGGGAGAGGUGAGUGGAACUGCGAGUGUAGAGGUGAAAUUCGUAGAUAUUCGCAAGAACACCAGUGGCGAAGGCGGCUCACUGGCCCGAUACUGACGCUGAGGAGCGAAAGCGUGGGGAGCGAACAGG
rnacentral:rRNA from 1 species